rnacentral:rRNA from 1 species
GACGAACGCUGGCGGCGCGCCUAACACAUGCAAGUCGAACGGAGUUAUUUGAAAGCUUGCUUUUGGAUAACUGAGUGGCGGACGGGUGAGUAACGCGUGAGUAACCUGCCUUAAAGAGGGGGAUAACGUCUGGAAACGGACGCUAAUACCGCAUGACAUAUUGUUUUCGCAUGGAGACGAUAUCAAAGGAGCAAUCCGCUUUAAGAUGGACUCGCGUCCAAUUAGCUAGUUGGUGAGGUAACGGCCCACCAAGGCGACGAUUGGUAGCCGGACUGAGAGGUUGAACGGCCACAUUGGGACUGAGACACGGCCCAG